AGUGAACGCUGGCGGUAGGCCUAACACAUGCAAGUCGAACGGCAGCACAGUAAGAGCUUGCUCUUACGGGUGGCGAGUGGCGGACGGGUGAGGAAUACAUCGGAAUCUACUUUUUGGUGGGGGAUAACGUAGGGAAACUUACGCUAAUACCGCAUACGACCUACGGGUUAAAGCAGGGGAUCUUCUGACCUUGCGCGAUUGAAUGAGCCGAUGUCGGAUUAGCUAGUUGGCGGGGUAAAGGCCCACCAAGGCGACGAUCCGUAGCUGGUCUGAGAGGAUGAUCAGCCACACUGGAACUGAGACACGGUCCAGACUCCUACGGGAGGCAGCAGUGGGGAAUAUUGGACAAUGGGCGCAAGCCUGAUCCAGCCAUACCGCGUGGGUGAAGAAGGCCUUCGGGUUGUAAAGCCCUUUUGUUGGGAAAGAAAAGCAGCAGGUUAAUACCCCGCUGUUCUGACGGUACCCAAAGAAUAAGCACCGGCUAACUUCGUG
rnacentral:rRNA from 1 species